UUGGAGGGCAAGUCUGGUGCCAGCAGCCGCGGUAAUUCCAGCUCCAAUAGCGUAUAUUAAAGUUGUUGCAGUUAAAAAGCUCGUAGUUGAAUUUCGGGGUCCUACCGUUGGUCGGGCUUUGUCUGUACUGGUGUGUAGAAUUUCUACCUUCUGGGGAACCAUCAUGCUAUUAAUUUAGCGUGGUGGGAAACCAGGACCUUUACCUUGAAAAAAUUAGUGUGUUCAAAGCAGGCUUGUGUCUGAAUACAUUAGCGUGGAAUAAUAGAAUAGGACGGUGGUCCUGUUUUGUUGGUUUCUGAAUCACCGUAAUGAUUAAUAGGGAUAGUUGGGGGCAUUAGUAUUCAAUUGUCAGAGGUGAAAUUCUUGGAUUUAUUGAAGACUAACUUCUGCGAAAGCAUUUGCCAAGGAUGUUUUCAUUAAUCAAGAACGAAAGUUAGGGGAUCGAAGACGAUCAGAUACCGUCGUAGUCUUAACCAUAAACUAUGCCGACUAGGGAUCGGGUGAUGUUAAUUUUUUAAUGACUCAUUCGGCGCCUUACGGGAAAC
rnacentral:rRNA from 1 species